rnacentral:lncRNA from 1 species
AAAGGAUUAACCCAUUAGUGGAUUAAUCGACUGAUGAGAUUAGAGCUCUUAUGAUCCAAUCACUCCCCAAGAGCCCACCUCUGACCACUGCAGCACUAGGGACCAAGACUUUAGCACACGAGCCUUUGGGGACAUUCCAGAUGCAAGCCCUGACAACUACCAUCAUUAUGAGUAUGACCCUAGCCCCAUAGAGAGCCUGGAGAGUGUGCUCUCAGUGGGUGAAGGUCUUCCAGAGCUGGGUAUCAUUGACUCCUCCAGGGCCCAAGACACUCCAGUCCUCCAGUGGGGAUCCUAUCUCUGAGGAAGGUCUCCCUGCAUUACCUGGGGGACAGGAGGCAGGUACUUUUCUAAUGACUCAAAAAGUCACAGAAUCACACAAUUACAGAACCUGAGACUUUAAGAGGCUGGGAGGGAUCAAGCAGGUCAUGUGGGUAAAACACCGUCACUUUAAGAAAGAAAAAAAAUAGCUCCAAUUAAAGACUUCCACUCAUCCUCAUCCGUAGUUCUAUCGUGAAGGCCAGCUAGAAGACUGGACAGGAGAACAGCUUUUACCUACAACAAGCACCCAUUUUUGCAAGACAGCUCACCAAUGCAUUAACUAAUAUAUCCAUCCAUCCGUCCGUCUGUCCAUACAUCUGUCUGUUCAUCCCUCCACACAUCUGCUCUUCACCACCCUGAGAAGCCAAGGCAGCUCCACAAAGCACAGGUCUGAUCUGCCUCCCUCCCUGCUCCUUCCUCCCUGCUCUUUCUGCCAUCCAGGAUGAGACGAACAUUCUGGCAGAAUUCACUGCACGUGUGAGUGGGGAGCAAGGCCAGCUGCUGUCGGGGUACUGGUGGUGAUUUUGAAACUCUCCAAGGAUCCCCCACUCCAGGGCGGCUCAGCCUGGACACAGUGUGUGUUAGAAGGGAGCUUCUGAGCUUAAGCCCUUCUUCCCUUGUUUUCAAAUCUCUUCCAAGGUCAGAACAGGCCACUGGGAAGGCCAGGACAAAGGAAUGUAA